UCUCCGUUGGUGAACCAGCGGAGGGAUCAUUACAGAGUUGCAAAACUCCCUAAACACUUGUGAACCUACCUGUAUCGUUGCUUCGGUGGGCGGCUCCAGGGCGGAGCCGUAGCCUUUACGGGCGCCCGCCGGAGGUCUUAAACGCUAUAUUUUUAUUGUCUCUCUGAGUAAACUUAUAAUAAGUCAAAACUUUCAACAACGGAUCUCUUGGUUCUGGCAUCGAUGAAGAACGCAGC
rnacentral:misc_RNA from 1 species